GAGCCAGUGACACGUCAGAAGGUUCCACAGCUGAUUUUAUUGGCAAGUAUAGAAAUCCGCAGAUUUACUGAAGUCAACCCUGAAGCAUUUUAGUCCAUUUCUCUGUUUCCAUUUAACUAAUAGCUAGGAUAAGAAAAGACUUCAGCCUUGCAGAUGAGCAGAGCCUGGGCUCAAGGACCUCCUGGAUGGUUCUGUCCGUCUCAGGUUCUCGGGUUCAUCAGGAUUUAUUCCAGACGUUGACAUGAGGUGGUGGUUUCAUUCCUGACCUCACGCUCCAAACUCCGGAGCCCUGAUGCCUGAACUGCAGGUCAUAAAUCAUGGGCCAGUUAUUAUUGCAGUAUUUGUGAUGUUGUGUCUCUUCCUGCUGAGCUGGAAUGCAUCGUUCUGCUUCUUUAAUGAGAUGUGGAAUCGCUGCUGUGUCGCUGCACGCACGUCCUUCACAGGCACUAAAACUCCUGGUGGGGGCCGUAAAAAGGCCAGACGGACCGAAGCUCAUAAAACCCAGGAGAAGGUUCAGAUUCAGACACAAACACGCUGUCAGAGCACAGAACCUGUUGUCCCUGAGUUCACCGCGUGGGUCCAACCUGGUCAGGUUCCUCUGACCUAAAUCCACUGGACCACCUAUAGAACAUCACGUAACGCCAUCAGUGUUGACGCAGACUCUCCGGGAGCUCACUGACGCCCUGAUCCCGGUCUGGAAGGAGAUUAGACGGGACACCACCUGUCAGCAGCGCGAGGCCAGACACAUCCUCAGCUGCUGUGAUAACGUUCAUGCAUCACGACAGUGACUGGUCGUGAUCUCCAGCUUCAGCGGCUCGAUGCAGAAAGACACGACUCCCCCUCAUAGCGUGACCUCGUGUCCUGGACAGGAAGUGAGCAGCUGGAGCAUGAAGAGCUGCAGCACAUUCAGCUGUUCAUCUGCUGUGGGGCUGGUUUUAAACUCAGAGACCAGAGAUGCUGCCUCUGCAGCUCCUUCCAGGUCCGUACGUCUUAAAGUUUCCUCUGAGACAUGAAACACAACCAUCAUCAUUGUUAUUCACCUCAGCUGUCAGUCGUGGUGAUGCUGGGCCUGAUCAGAGAGGAAACCCAAAACUUCAGCCACACCACAGACGUGUUUUCUCCUGAAGCUGAUGACAGCGGAGCGCACAGCUGCGGACAGUACACAGCCUCGGAUCUGAUCUCUCAUCUUCCUUCUCGUCAGCUUGUCUCAAACUGGUUUCAGCAUCUUAAUCAGCCGUAGAAUCUGAAACUCGAGCCUCUGCGGAUGUUCUCAUUAGAACAAAGCAUUUCCUCUGCCAGCGCUGGAGGCGAGGUUCCCAUGGUGGAGUGACAUGUAUCUGCUAUGUGAUGGUUCUGUCAUCAUUCUUCUGUCAGCCUGUGGGGAAGAAUCCUGACUGGAGCUGGAAAGAGAUCCAGAAAACAGAUUCAACAAAGUGAAACUAAACAGAACAUUCACAUUUAUGCGUCCACACUAGCAGCCGGAGGCGUCAUGUUUAUAGGUUAUGCCUCGUGAGGACAUCUUCACAUGGACGAAGAUGAACUGAUGAGACUCUGGGGGUCAAAGGUCACCUGUAUGUCAUCCUGUAUGUGUCCCAUUCUGUCAGACAGCUGGAACAAAGCUCAAACACUCCCCUGAAGAAGCUACUGAUAUCUAAUAAAUAUUCAUCAGGGUUUCAGUGCUUACGGUAAAUAUUGGGCCUCGUCCAGAUGAUGGCAGUUUAAUAACAGUGUUACAGCCACACCUGGCCGUGAUAGAAAAGUGAGACGAGUGGAGACAACCAGCAGCGCAUUGCUGUUUUUAACCACACGGAGGUUCACGCAGCAGCGCCAUGGUAUUAGUUACAGGUCCUGCUGCUGGUGUUCUGCAGGUGUGGUUCAGCGGAGCCCCGAGCGUCUGCCUCUUUGCAUCACUCCAGGUAGAAGCGCUGGCGUCAGACGCAGGAGCCCAGAACACGUUGGGGUCGGAGGUCGGCGCUGGCUCCGCUCACGGAUCACGGCUCCUCGCUCUGAUCUCUCCUCCGCUCAGGGAGCAAUGAGCUGUUCUUUCCCAGGAGACCUGGAACUUUAAUCCUGCUUUAGCUAAAUAAGCAGAGCAGAUUUCUUUAACCCGAAACUCUGCUGCUGCAGAAACUGACUCUGUCAAUUGUCUGCUCACACAUUGUGUCCGUUAACGUUUUGUACACACGGCGCGUUACGGACUGGACUGAUGCUGGUUUCCCAUCAACGCUGGGCAUCAGCAGGUGACCUCCAGCCUCUGAAGGCCAAACACAGCAGCUCAGCUGUUUGCUUUGAGCUUUGAGCGAACCGACAGACUGAGAGUGUUGUUUCACAGCUGAUGGAUGGAGGUGUUUGUUCUCCAGCGGGGACGGAGCAGUAGAUAGUGCUCAGCAGUGAGAACUAGAUCCUAGAGGAAACACUGGCAUGAAAACUCUCUGUUUAACAGGGUUCUACUGUUUCCCACAAAAAUCACUUUAAUUUAAAAGGUAAAUAAAACAGCAGCAGUUGAAGUGUGUGUGUCCUGUCAGAUUAGGAGACAUGGGUUUGAACAGAGGUGAAGAGUGACUGCAGAUGCGA